rnacentral:rRNA from 1 species
UACGUAGGUGGCAAGCGUUGUCCGGAAUUAUUGGGCGUAAAGCGCGCGCAGGCGGUUCUUUAAGGCUGAUGUGAAAGCCCACGGCUCAACCGUGGAGGGUCAUUGGAAACUGGAGAACUUGAGUACAGAAGAGGAAAGCGGAAUUCCACGUGUAGCGGUGAAAUGCGUAGAGAUGUGGAGGAACACCAGUGGCGAAGGCGGCUUUCUGGUCUGUAACUGACGCUGAGGCGCGAAAGCGUGGGGAGCAAACAGG